GACGAACGCUGGCGGCGUGCUUAACACAUGCAAGUCGAACGGAAAGGCCCUGCUUUUGUGGGGUGCUCGAGUGGCGAACGGGUGAGUAACACGUGAGUAACCUGCCCUUGACUUUGGGAUAACUUCAGGAAACUGGGGCUAAUACCGGAUAGGAGCUCCUGCUGCAUGGUGGGGGUUGGAAAGUUUCGGCGGUUGGGGAUGGACUCGCGGCUUAUCAGCUUGUUGGUGGGGUAGUGGCUUACCAAGGCUUUGACGGGUAGCCGGCCUGAGAGGGUGACCGGCCACAUUGGGACUGAGAUACGGCCCAGACUCCUACGGGAGGCAGCGGUGGGGAAUAUUGCACAAUGGGCGGAAGCCUGAUGCAGCAACGCCGCGUGCGGGAUGACGGCCUUCGGGUUGUAAACCGCUUUCGCCUGUGACGAAGCGUGAAUGACGGUAAUGGGUAAAGAAGCACCGGCUAACUACGUG
rnacentral:rRNA from 1 species